rnacentral:rRNA from 1 species
AGAGGCGAUGAAGGGCGUGCUAAUCUGCGAUAAGCGCCGGUAAGGUGAUAUGAACCGUUAUAACCGGCGAUACCCGAAUGGGGAAACCCAGUGUGACUCGUCACACUAUCAUUAACUGAAUCCAUAGGUUAAUGAGGCGAACCGGGGGAACUGAAACAUCUAAGUACCCCGAGGAAAAGAAAUCAACCGAGAUUCCCCCAGUAGCGGCGAGCGAACGGGGAGGAGCCCAGAGCCUGAAUCAGCAUGUGUGUUAGUGGAAGCGUCUGGAAAGGCGCGCGAUACAGGGUGACAGCCCCGUACACAAAAGCGCAUGUGCUGUGAGCUCGAUGAGUAGGGCGGGACACGUGGUAUCCUGUCUGAAUAUGGGGGGACCAUCCUCCAAGGCUAAAUACUCCUGACUGACCGAUAGUGAACCAGUACCGUGAGGGAAAGGCGAAAAGAACCCCGGCGAGGGGAGUGAAAAAGAACCUGAAACCGUGUACGUACAAGCAGUGGGAGCNNNNNNNNNNNNNNNNNNNNNNNNNNNNNNNNNNNNNNNNNNNNNNNNNNNNNNNNNNNNNNNNNNNNNNNNNNNNNNNGGGCGUUAAGUUGCAGGGUAUAGACCCGAAACCCGGUGAUCUAGCCAUGGGCAGGUUGAAGGUUGGGUAACACUAACUGGAGGACCGAACCGACUAAUGUUGAAAAAUUAGCGGAUGACCUGUGGCUGGGGGUGAAAGGCCAAUCAAACCGGGAGAUAGCUGGUUCUCCCCGAAAGCUAUUUAGGUAGCGCCUCGUGAAUUCAUCUCCGGGGGUAGAGCACUGUUUCGGCUAGGGGGCCAUCCCGGCUUACCAACCCGAUGCAAACUGCGAAUACCGGAGAAUGUUAUCACGGGAGACACACGGCGGGUGCUAACGUCCGUCGUGAAGAGGGAAACAACCCAGACCGCCAGCUAAGGUCCCAAAGUCAUGGUUAAGUGGGAAACGAUGUGGGAAGGCCCAGACAGCCAGGAUGUUGGCUUAGAAGCAGCCAUCAUUUAAAGAAAGCGUAAUAGCUCACUGGUCGAGUCGGCCUGCGCGGAAGAUGUAACGGGGCUAAACCAUGCACCGAAGCUGCGGCAGCGANNUGCUGGAGGUAUCAGAAGUGCGAAUGCUGACAUAAGUAACGAUAAAGCGGGUGAAAAGCCCGCUCGCCGGAAGACCAAGGGUUCCUGUCCAACGUUAAUCGGGGCAGGGUGAGUCGACCCCUAAGGCGAGGCCGAAAGGCGUAGUCGAUGGGAAACGGGUUAAUAUUCCCGUACUUGGUGUUACUGCGAAGGGGGGACGGAGAAGGCUAUGUUGGCCGGGCGACGGUUGUCCCGGUUUAAGCGUGUAGGUGUGUGUUCCAGGUAAAUCCGGUUCACUUUAACACUGAGGCGUGAUGACGAGGCACUACGGUGCUGAAGCAACAAAUGCCCUGCUUCCAGGAAAAGCCUCUAAGCAUCAGGUAACAUCAAAUCGUACCCCAAACCGACACAGGUGGUCAGGUAGAGAAUACCAAGGCGCUUGAGAGAACUCGGGUGAAGGAACUAGGCAAAAUGGUGCCGUAACUUCGGGAGAAGGCACGCUGACACGUAGGUGAAGUGAUUUACUCACGGAGCUGAAGUCAGUCGAAGAUACCAGCUGGCUGCAACUGUUUAUUAAAAACACAGCACUGUGCAAACACGAAAGUGGACGUAUACGGUGUGACGCCUGCCCGGUGCCGGAAGGUUAAUUGAUGGGGUCAGCGCAAGCGAAGCUCCUGAUCGAAGCCCCGGUAAACGGCGGCCGUAACUAUAACGGUCCUAAGGUAGCGAAAUUCCUUGUCGGGUAAGUUCCGACCUGCACGAAUGGCGUAAUGAUGGCCAGGCUGUCUCCACCCGAGACUCAGUGAAAUUGAACUCGCUGUGAAGAUGCAGUGUACCCGCGGCAAGACGGAAAGACCCCGUGAACCUUUACUAUAGCUUGACACUGAACAUUGAGCCUUGAUGUGUAGGAUAGGUGGGAGGCUUUGAAGUGUGGACGCCAGUCUGCAUGGAGCCGACCUUGAAAUACCACCCUUUAAUGUUUGAUGUUCUAACGUGGACCCGUUACCCGGGUUGCGGACAGUGUCUGGUGGGUAGUUUGACUGGGGCGGUCUCCUCCUAAAGAGUAACGGAGGAGCACGAAGGUUGGCUAAUCCUGGUCGGACAUCAGGAGGUUAGUGCAAUGGCAUAAGCCAGCUUGACUGCGAGCGUGACGGCGCGAGCAGGUGCGAAAGCAGGUCAUAGUGAUCCGGUGGUUCUGAAUGGAAGGGCCAUCGCUCAACGGAUAAAAGGUACUCCGGGGAUAACAGGCUGAUACCGCCCAAGAGUUCAUAUCGACGGCGGUGUUUGGCACCUCGAUGUCGGCUCAUCACAUCCUGGGGCUGAAGUAGGUCCCAAGGGUAUGGCUGUUCGCCAUUUAAAGUGGUACGCGAGCUGGGUUUAGAACGUCGUGAGACAGUUCGGUCCCUAUCUGCCGUGGGCGCUGGAGAACUGAGGGGGGCUGCUCCUAGUACGAGAGGACCGGAGUGGACGCAUCACUGGUGUUCGGGUUGUCAUGCCAAUGGCACUGCCCGGUAGCUAAAUGCGGAAGAGAUAAGUGCUGAAAGCAUCUAAGCACGAAACUUGCCCCGAGAUGAGUUCUCCCUGAGACUUA